AGUGCAUAUCCCCAAGGCCUGCGAUUGGCUGUUGGUGGAGCCCGUCCUCACUUUUUUGCGUUCCCCGGACCACAGGCCGUGGAAAAGGGUCAGGAGCGGAGGGGCAGAUUCAAGGGCGAGCGGAUUCAAACCUGCCUCUCCGCUCCGUCAGCAGAUACCAUUGUGUGAUUUGAAUCAGGAAUGAGAUCUCCUGGGAGCUCAGGGCAGCAGUUUUUCUGGUCAACAUGGCAGACAAAAGACGGCAGGUGCGAGUGCAGGGAGCCUGGGCAGCCCCUGCAAAGAAACAGCCUUCUGCUCAGCCAGCUGCCGCUGCUGGGAGCUGUCUCCACCAGACACCUGGUCAGACCUGGAGGAACAAGGAGCAUCAUCCUUCUGACAGAGAGUUUGUGUUCAAAGAACCCCAGCAGGUAGUACGCCGAGUCCCAGAACCACGAGUGAUUGACAGCGAGGGUGUGUAUGAAAUCAGCCUGGCACCCACGGGCGUCUCCAGGGUGCAUUUAUAUCCUGGCUUUGUCGACUCAAAGGAAGCAGACGGGGUGUUGGAACAGCUGUGUCGGGAUGUCCCCUGGAAACAGAGAAUGGGCAUCAGAGAGGAUGUAACUUACCUGCAACCAAGACUUACAGCAUGGUAUGGAGAGCUUCCUUACACUUACUCAAGAGUCACUAUGGAACCAAACCCUCACUGGCACCCCGUGCUGCACACGCUGAAGCGCCGCAUCGAGGAGAACACCGGCCACACCUUUAACUCCUUACUCUGCAAUCUGUACCGCAACGAGAAGGACAGCGUGGACUGGCACAGCGACGACGAGCCCGCGCUGGGGAGGUGGCCCGUCAUCGCUUCCCUCAGCCUUGGCGCCACGCGUACUUUCGAAAUGAGGAAGAAACCCCUGCCUGAAGAGAAUGGAGACUACACCUACGUGGAAAGGGUGAAGAUACCCUUGGAUCACGGGGCCCUGUUAAUCAUGGAAGGAGCGACACAAGCCGACUGGCAGCAUCGAGUGCCCAGAGAAUACCACUCCAGGGGACCCAGAGUCAACCUGACCUUUCGCACCAUUUAUCCGGACCCCAGAGGGGCGCCCAGCUGACGCAGCUCCGCGGAGAAGCCUUUGCAGGCAGCGGCUGAGCCUGCCCUUCAGCAGGGAAAUACUUCAGGAAGCUGCCUCAGCUUACCCCACUGUGCAGCUGUUUGGAGGACGGUGGCAUUUGCGUCCCAGCUCACCAUCCUGUCCAGCGAGUCCCCGGCAAUUCAACUGCUAAGGUGUCCACUGUGGGAAGUUAUUCCCAAGCACACCUUAGGAUCGUGCUUUAUCUUCAGUCCCCGAGGUUCAGAGGUUAGCUGUGAUGUCACCGAAGUUCCCAACACAGAGCUGCGUGGCUGCCCCUUCUUGCCUCACAGAAGCUUGAGUGUCCUUGACCUCUUCCAGUGUGCCCGGUAAACACUGAGCAAGAGGUGGAAAACCCCAGAGGAAGACAGUAAACUUACACAGAAGAAAGUAGGCAGAGGAGUUGGAGCGGCUCUCUGCCCGGCAAACACACGGCGACCUCUUGCUCUUCAUCCUUUCCUUCCGUGGUGUAAGACCAAUGACCCCCACGAUCAUGGCCAGCGGUGGGGCGCUCCACUCAGAGCUGGAGCUGGGCCGAAGCGCCAUGCACGACCUGUCUGUCUGUCUGUCUGUCUGUGUGUCUGUCAACGUGUGUAGCUUCUUUCUGUGAGAUAUACUAAGCACUUUGUACACUGAGCAUCACAGCAAACCUUCCAGGGAAGAAGGUAUAGACCCCCAUAAACAUCAAAUCCCCUAUUAAAGCCAAUGAAACCUGC